rnacentral:rRNA from 1 species
AGCGAACGCUGGCGGCAGGCUUAACACAUGCAAGUCGAACGGGCCCUUCGGGGUCAGUGGCAGACGGGUGAGUAACACGUGGGAACGUGCCCUUCGGUUCGGAACAACUCAGGGAAACUUGAGCUAAUACCGGAUACGCCCUUCGGGGGAAAGAUUUAUCGCUGAAGGAUCGGCCCGCGUCUGAUUAGCUAGUUGGUGAGGUAAUGGCUCACCAAGGCGACGAUCAGUAGCUGGUCUGAGAGGAUGAUCAGCCACACUGGGACUGAGACACGGCCCAGACUCCUACGGGAGGCAGCAGUGGGGAAUAUUGGACAAUGGGCGCAAGCCUGAUCCAGCCAUGCCGCGUGAGUGAUGAAGGCCUUAGGGUUGUAAAGCUCUUUCGUCCGGGACGAUAAUGACGGUACCGGAAGAAGAAGCCCCGGCUAACUUCGUGCCAGCAGCCGCGGUAAUACGAAGGGGGCUAGCGUUGCUCGGAAUCACUGGGCGUAAAGGGCGCGUAGGCGGCCAUUCAAGUCAGAGGUGAAAGCCCAAGGCUCAACCUUGGAAUUGCCUUUGAUACUGUUUGGCUUGAGACCGGAAGAGGUAAGUGGAACUGCGAGUGUAGAGGUGAAAUUCGUAGAUAUUCGCAAGAACACCAGUGGCGAAGGCGGCUUACUGGUCCGGUUCUGACGCUGAGGCGCGAAAGCGUGGGGAGC